GUGGCAGGCGCGCUCACCUGUGAACACGUUCUGAAAGCCAUCAGCUGUCGCUGGAGCCCCAGGUGCCUUGGCGGCCAGUACAGGGGACCCGCCACCACUGUCAUCCGCAGUAGCCCCGCGCCCCAGCAGGUGCACGGAGCCUCCUGCCCCUGGCGUACGGACGCCCAGCUCCUCGGUCCAGUCGGCUGAGCGGCUGAGGCCGCCCGUGAGGCCACCCUCCAACCGGUGCUUUUUUGCCGGGGCUGCAGCAGAGGCCAAGGCGGUUCUGGAGCUCCGGCUCACGGAAGGGUCCGGCCGCUUUUUGAUCCUAGGACUCUGGUUGGGGGACUGGGACGGGGAGUGAUUAGGAGAGCUGAGCUGCCGAGUGGUGGUCUUGAUGUAGCAGGGGGUGAUGAGUGGGUAAGGUUUGAAGCAGCGUGGGCUGGGCGCAGGGCUUCCAGGCAAAGAAACGACUGCGGAGGUAAUGGAUUCUCGCAUGCCCUCCUCCGGCUCUUUCUCCAGCCUCUGUGAGGCUUCUUCCACCUCUGGGACCCAUUCCUCCCCUGGAGAGCCGCGGGGGGCAUCCUCAAAAGCAUCCUCCUCGCACUCCUCAUCUGUGUCCCCAGUUCCAGCCACGGGAACUCCGGCGGCUCCCUCCCCUGGCCCAGCCUCCGGAAAGGUGAAGGCUGGUGAUGAGAGAGAGUCUGUGACUGCGGAGGGGGCGGUCGCAUAACCUGGUGUCUCGGAGGUCAAGUGGCUUCCGGAGGACGGAGGAUGCUCAGGCACCAGAGACUUGGUGGUCUCAGGCAAGUCAGGUCUCACCGGUAGUGCCUGUACUGUGUCCUUUUCAGCCUCGCUUCUAGGUCCCAGCAAGAACUGGUCCAGGCCCAGAAAGGCCCCAGGCUGAGGGGAGAUGGCAGUGGGGGGCGCUGCAGGCUCCUCGGAGUCCUGGAGCAGCAGCUUCUGCUGCUGCUGCUGUUGCAGACGAAUUGCCUGCUGGAUGUCUGAGAGCAAAUCCUCCUGCUCCGUAGCGGAGUGGAAGCUGUAGAUGUCCGUGUCUGAACCAGAACUGGUCCUUUGUCCAUCUUGCGCUCCAGCCGCAGUUUCCAAAUCCUCCGCGGUCGCCUGGAUCCCUACCCCAGCCUCAGCAGGCCUAGAAGCACCGGGAUGGAUCACCUCGAAAGGGUCAGCACACUCGGUAUCCGAUAGGCCUGUCUCCUCAGCGGAGAGGCUGAGGUCCGGGGUCUUGGUGACUAUAGAGUGAGCGCUGUCCAGCUCCCCAAUCGGCAGGGCCUGUGAGUCCAGCACAUCCUCUCGCGAGUCGCAGGCACCUUUCCCCUUGGUCAGGUUCUUUCUGAUCCGCAGGUUGGAAAACACCGAGGCUCUAGAAUCGGACUUGCUCUUCUUCUUGCUGGUCUCCCCGCUGCCCCCUCCCCCCUUGCCGUGCUUGCCAAGCGCCUUUUUGCUCCCGCUCGCCUUCUUUGUGAUUUCCGCAUCCCUGGGCCCCGCGGCAUCCUCGGCUCCGCCGCCUUCGUGGGAGGCAUCACCUGCGCUUCUCUUCAGCUUCCCAUCCUGGUUCCCCAUGUUUCAACCCCACUGCUGCGCCGCCGCGCCUUGGGGUCCUCAGGCCAUCUCGGCCCUGGAGAGGGCCAGGGGAGUGUCCGGGACAAUUCAGGCAGCUGGGCCGGCCGUUGGGAGCGGAGGCCGAGGAGCGCCCAGCUGGCCCCGCUCACAUCUGCUGCCGCUUUGCAUAAUGCGCGGUGGCUCUCCCGGCUGCCGUCCCUGCGGCUGUGGCUGCGGCCCUGGCUGGCGGGCGCGAACAUGCUCAGUUCAGCGCGCACUCCCCACCAAUGGCUGCACAGGACUCAGCCUUGGCCUGGCUCCCCGCCCACCGCCGCCGCCCCUUCAGUGCCCCCUUUGGCUCCUCCUGCAACCAAGUAGGAAAACCCGUCUAUCUCUAGUACUUCAUAAUUGGGGGUGGGGACAGCAGGAGCUGUCUUUAUGUAUCCCAGACUAGAUCGAAUUUAGAAUCUUUCUGACAGGUUAUCUCUGGGACCUUCAUCUCCACCUUGAAAAUAAAACAUGUUGCCCUCUUUUCAAGAACUGG
rnacentral:lncRNA from 1 species